rnacentral:rRNA from 1 species
CAUAUCAAUAUGUCAGCGGCAGACGGGUGAGUAACGCGUGGGAACGUACCUUUUGGUUCGGAACAACACAGGGAAAGUUGUGCUAAUACCGGAUAAGCCCUUACGGGGAAAGAUUUAUCGCCGAAAGAUCGGCCCGCGUCUGAUUAGCUAGUUGGUGAGGUAAUGGCUCACCAAGGCGACGAUCAGUAGCUGGUCUGAGAGGAUGAUCAGCCACAUUGGGACUGAGACACGGCCCAAACUCCUACGGGAGGCAGCAGUGGGGAAUAUUGGACAAUGGGCGCAAGCCUGAUCCAGCCAUGCCGCGUGAGUGAUGAAGGCCCUAGGGUUGUAAAGCUCUUUUGUGCGGGAAGAUAAUGACGGUACCGCAAGAAUAAGCCCCGGCUAACUUCGUGCCAGCAGCCGCGGUAAUACGAAGGGGGCUAGCGUUGCUCGGAAUCACUGGGCGUAAAGGGUGCGUAGGCGGGUCUUUAAGUCAGGGGUGAAAUCCUGGAGCUCAACUCCAGAACUGCCCUUGAUACUGAGGAUCUUGAGUUCGGGAGAGGUGAGUGGAACUGCGAGUGUANAGGUGAAAUUCGUAGAUAUUCGCAAGAACACCAGUGGCGAAGGCGGCUCACUGGCCCGAUACUGACGCUGAGGCACGAAAGCGUGGGGAGCAACAGGA